UCCCCAUAUCUUGUAAAACUUUUUGAUAAUACAAAGAAGGCUUAGAAUUUUUUAUUAGUCUAAAUGAGUUUUCUAUAUAAAGUUUGGAAAACCAUUACAAACUCUCUUCGUAAAUCGCUCUCCUCCUCAUAUUUUUAGCCGCCAGAAGAAAACUGAAUGUAAAAUUUUCACUUUCCCGAGACAAAAGAAAAAAAGCUAAUCCCGGCGAUUCCAUGACCGGAGGUUUUGUCUGAAAAAUAUAUAUUUUUUUAAAAAAAAAAAAUCUCUAAACUUGGCAAAAAUCAUUCAAACGAGUCCAAAUCAAAAUCACACCAAUUUCAACGCCUCUUCUUCUUCUUCUGAAUUAUAUAUAUUGGAGAGACUAAAGGCAAAGAAGAAAGCUUUCUCAUUUCCUCGUAAUUGCCGUAGAAUUCUACUAAAGGGUUGGUUGAACAAUGAAGGGAGCGACACUCGUUGCUCUCGCCGCCACUAUCGGCAAUUUCUUGCAAGGAUGGGACAAUGCCACCAUUGC